GCAAGUCGAACGCACUCUCGUUUAGAUUGAAGGAGCUUGCUCCUGAUUGAUAAACAUUUGAGUGAGUGGCGGACGGGUGAGUAACACGUGGGUAACCUGCCCUAAAGUGGGGGAUAACAUUUGGAAACAGAUGCUAAUACCGCAUAAAACCUAACACCGCAUGGUGUAGGGUUGAAAGAUGGUUUCGGCUAUCACUUUAGGAUGGACCCGCGGUGCAUUAGUUAGUUGGUGAGGUAAAGGCUCACCAAGACCGUGAUGCAUAGCCGACCUGAGAGGGUAAUCGGCCACACUGGGACUGAGACACGGCCCAGACUCCUACGGGAGGCAGCAGUAGGGAAUCUUCCACAAUGGACGAAAGUCUGAUGGAGCAACGCCGCGUGAGUGAAGAAGGUUUUCGGAUCGUAAAACUCUGUUGUUGGAGAAGAAUGUAUCUGAUAGUAACUGAUCAGGUAGUGACGGUAUCCAACCAGAAAGCCACGGCUAACUACGUGCCAGCAGCCGCGGUAAUACGUAGGUGGCAAGCGUUGUCCGGAUUUAUUGGGCGUAAAGCGAGCGCAGGCGGUUUCUUAAGUCUGAUGUGAAAGCCUUCGGCUCAACCGAAGAAGUGCAUCGGAAACUGGGAAACUUGAGUGCAGAAGAGGACAGUGGAACUC
rnacentral:rRNA from 2 species